AGUCCAGCUGUUUCUCUUCAUCAGUCUGCAAAGCAGAACAGCCCAUGAUCUCAGAACCCCACCCUACCACGGAGCAGCCCCAUAGGCUGACAGCCCAUGUAGCACUAGCCAAGCAAACACGAUCUGCCAGACACCAUGCUGUUCUAAGAGGGAGGACAUCCCAAACCAACCCAAGCAUUUUCAAUAGCAGGAAGUCAUCCCGUCCCCCCAUUCCCAUCUCCCCCUCUCCCAACAUUCUGCAGGUAAGAGUUCAGAGCAUAGCUGGCACCUGCCUCUGCUGGUCCUGUCACUAUCCACAAAUAUCCAACAUGCCCACACUGGUGCCAUAAGAAAUAAGGAAUCAACACAGCUCCCUGUCCCAGAAAGGGCUAGUGGCCAUUUCUCAGCUAUGACUGUGCUGUCUUGUUGGGAAGACUAUGAAUAGACCUAUUAACUAGUAAGGAGGUGGCAUCAAUCCUAAAAACUUCCCAUCAGAGAAAAGGUAGGAGCAAAUAUUGCACUUGUAAAUUCUAACCAAAGUUUAGAAAGUCAAAACAAUCUUUUCCAAACUCUUCAAGAUUAAAAAAAAUCCAAGAGAACAUUUCUAGUUCAUCCUAGAAAGCCAACACACCCUAAUAAAAGACACAGACACUGAAAACUAACACCACAGACCAAUAUCCUUGCGGACAUUGAUUAAAAUCCCAAACAGGAUACUGGCACAAACUCAGCAUGUUAGAGGAACUCUGUAUGUCUGUGCAUUUCCUGAGGCAUGCUUCACCACAUGGAAAUCAGCCACCGUGUUAACAGAAUAGACAAGCAGGUGUGGUGGGGUUAAAGACUUAGUACAUGAGGCAGGAGGAUUACUCUGACUUCAAGGCCAUCAACUUUGGCUGCAUAGUGAGUUCCAGGACAGCCUGAGCUACAGAGUAAGAUACUGCUUAAAACAAAACAAAACAAAACAAAGGUGGGUCUUGGGAUGUACGGUGCCGACGGCAGCUGUCGAGCAUGCGGCUCUGGGAUCUCAGGGCCAAACAAAACACGCAUGAUGGCGUCUCUAAGUCCAGUACUCAAGGAGCCGAGGGCAGAAGGGGAGGCCAGCACUAGGCAGCGGUGUACAAUGUGUACAUGUGAAUCACUCAGAAAGCAGGGAGACCGUAAGGGUGAUGCCAGCCUGUAACGUUAUAGUGACGGGGAAGCUUGUGGUCAGCACGGUGGCAGGAGCACUUUCUGCAGCUUGGCUGGUGUCUGCUCCACGCUGCCGCCAGCAUUAGAUGUUGUCAAGUGUCCUGGUUGUGUGUGUGUUGUUGUUUUGAGUCAGAAGAUCAUAUAUAGCUCAGGUUACAAUGGAACUCAAUAGCUGCUGCUGAAUUCCUAAUCCUCCUGCCUCCAACUCCCAAGUGCUGGGAUUCCAUUUGCACACGACCACGCCUGGCCUCAGUAUUUUCUACUGGUAUGUGCUAGAAUUUUGUUGUGGCUUUCAUUUGAAUUUCUCUGAUGAGCUAAUGUUUUUUCAUGUAAUUAUCAGCAGUUCAUACUACCUUUGGUGAGAUAGCUACUGAAAUAUUAUUUCUAGCCAGGUGACUUGUCUUACUAUUGCAAUGUAACCUAGGUACACACAGUCCUUUGUCAGAAAUGACUUGUAUUUUCUCCCAACAUGUCAUUUUUAGCAUAACUUUUAAGCUUUAAUGAAGUCUAAGGUGUAUUUUCUUUUUUCCAUGGCUAUUGCUUUCUGUACCUAAAAGUCUCUGUCCAUUUCAAAACCACUGGGGAUAUCUGCAGCAGUUUCUCUCGUGCCAUGGUUAGGCUUUUCUAGCUAGCUGAUGAGCCCACUGUGAACUGACUGUCUGUGCUCUCUCUCCAAUGCCAAUCAGAAUCCUGGGAGAAUCCCCCUUCUAAGACGUUAAAAUGGAUGUUCUUUAAGUUCUAGCAAGAGGUUAUGAGGUCUGGCCAUCUGUCAGUAUAAUUAUUUCUAAGUAAGCUUUUGCUUUUUAUUACUAUUUUAACCAGCAUUGUUUAAGUUUCAUUUUUUGAUUGUUAGUAUAUAAAAUUAACUUGACUUUUAUACAUGGAGGUUAUUGUCCUGUAUGAUCUCAUUAAUCAAAUCUAAUUAUUAGGGUAAUGUUAUAUGCCUUGGGAAUACACACACACACACACACACGUUAUCUGCAAAUUUUAAGGUGUUAUUGUUGAGAAACACUACUUUCAGGUGUGUGACUUUUGUUUAUGCUGCAUGUGUUUAACUCUGUGAAGCUGUGUUGCUGUGCUUGUCUAAAACACCUGAUGUUCCUAAUAAAGAGCUGAACGGUCAAUAGCGAGGCAGGAGCAAGGACAGGCGGGGCUGGCAAGCAAAGGGUAAAUGGAGGACUAAGGAAGGAGGAGCAGGGAGAGACAAGGAGAGGAGGACUUCAGGGCCAGCCACAAAGCCACCCAGCCACCCAUGGUGUAAGUAAGAUUUACAGAAAUAAGAACAGGAAACGCUCAGAGGCAAAAGGUAGACAGAAUAAUUUAAGAAAAGCAAACUAGAAACAAGACAAGCGAAGGCCAGACAUUGUAAGAAUAAGCCCCCGUGUGUGAUUCAUUUGGGAGCUGGGUAGCAGUCUCCCCCAAAAGAGAGAAAAUAACAUGUAGUAAUGAUACUCUAUAUACUUUGUCCUCCCUUGUGCAAUGCAGUGGCUGGAAAGGCCGACAGUGUUGAGCGGUGUGGUAAGAGCAGGCUCCAGCUUUGUUUCCAUUACUAGGGCAACAUCAAGGGGCUGGAUAUAACAUAAGCACUCAGGAGCCAAGGGCCAGCCUGAUCUACCUAGAGAUUCUGGAUACCAGGACCACACAAAGAUCCUGUCUCCAACAAGGACUCUGGUGAACCACUGAAAUAAGAGACCAGCCUUGCAUGCCUGGGAACAGGCCUUCUAGGUGAUCCUCUGUGCUGUUGGACUCUGCUUCUCUACACUCGUGGUCUUGAGAAAGACUGUGGUGUCCUGUGGCACCGCCUUUGUGUGGCAUUGACAAUGGGGACCUGCUCCUGGCAUCCAGAGGACCUGCCCACACAGGAAAG